rnacentral:rRNA from 1 species
CGAACGAAGCAGGGGGGCGGAAUCUCUCCGGAGGGGAAGCCCCCCUGACUGAGUGGCGGACGGGUGAGUAACGCGUGGACAACCUACCCCGCACUGGGGGACAACAGCCGGAAACGGCUGCUAAUACCGCAUAUGCGCACGGCCCCGCAUGGGGCCGCGCGGAAAGCGCAUGCGGUGCGGGAUGGGUCCGCGUCUGAUUAGCUUGUUGGCGGGGUAACGGCCCACCAAGGCGACGAUCAGUAGCCGGCCUGAGAGGGUGGACGGCCACAUUGGGACUGAGACACGGCCCAUACUCCUACGGGAGGCUGCAGUGGGGGAUCUUGCACAUUGGGGGCA